rnacentral:rRNA from 1 species
GACGAACGCUGGCGGCGUGCUUAACACAUGCAAGUCGAACGAAGUGGCGACGGGUGAGUAACGCGUAAUCAACCUGCCCUUCAGAGGGGGAAAACAGUUGGAAACGACGGCUAAUACCGCAUACGGAAGGAGGGGAUUGUGUCUGAUUGGCUAGUUGGAGGGGUGACGGCCCACCAAGGCGAUUAUCAGUAGCCUGUCUGAGGGGGUGAACGGCCACAUUGGGCCUGAGUCCCGGCCCCGACUCCUACGGGAGGCAGCAGUGGGGAAUUUUCCGCAAUGGACGGAAGUCUUACGGCGCAACGCCGCGUGAGUGAUGACGGCCUUCGGGUUGUAAAGCUCUGUUAAUCGGGACGCGGUACCGGAAUAGAAAGCCACGGCUAACUACGUGCCAGCAGCCGCGGUAAUAC